AAUAAGUGAUGACAGAAUGUUUCGGUCCCAGAUGUCCAGUGAUAAAACUGUUAACAUUUUUCUGAUGUU